AUUUACUACAAUUAAAUACAGAGCCAAAUCUGCAAAUAAAUACCUGUGAUGAUUUCACAACAUAAAUAUGCAUUUUUUAAUUAAUUUUCAAUUUUCGGAAAUUGUUGGGAAAACACAACAUGGAUUUUUGUCCACACAUGUCAUAAAUAAGCAAAGCUAUUGCUGAUUAAAGAUCAGUAAACGCUGUUGUACUGCCAGAAGCAUAAAAAUUAAGGAUUUAAAUUUAAAUCCUUGAUUGUCAAUAUAUUAACAUGCAUGUACUGCAAAUAAACUCGUCAUAGAUACCAGGACUAAAUUUAGUAUACACGCCAAUGCGCGUUUCGUCUACAAAAGACUCAUAAGUGACGCUCGAAUCCAAAAAAAGUUGAAAAGGCCAAAUAAACUACGACGUUAAAGAGCAUUGAGGACCACAAUUCCUAAAAGUGUUGCCAAAUACAGCUAAAGUAAUCUAUGCCUGACGUAGAAAAGCCUUAGUAUUUCAGUAAAUUUAUCAAUAUAACCAUAUCAAUGACAAAUCAUGUCAGUACAAAAAGUGCUGACUACUGGGCUUGUGAUACCCUCGGAGAAAUAAAUCUCCACCAGUAGUGGCAUCGACUCAGUGGUUGUAAAUAAACUCGUCAUAGAUACCAGGACUAAAAUUAGUAUAUACGCCGACGCGCGUGUCGUCUACAAAAGACUCAUCACUGACG
rnacentral:lncRNA from 1 species